AAACAGCCCCCUAUGUUUUGGAUUUUUGGCAAUUUUGGCCCCUAAGAGCACUUUUGACUUAGUCUUCGUUGAAGUGGCACCCACAAUGGUCGAUACGUGGCACCUCACUUAAGGGAUGUGGGUGUCACGUCAACGAAGACCAAGUCAAAAGUGGCAUUGGGGGCCAAAACUGCUAAAGAUCCAAUACAUAGGGGGCUGUUU
rfam:Medicago truncatula strain A17 unplaced genomic scaffold scaffold0028, whole genome shotgun sequence.